UACGUAGGGGGCAAGCGUUGUCCGGAUUUAUUGGGCGUAAAGAGCGUGUAGGCGGCCUGAAAGGUCAGCUGUGAAAACUCGAGGCUCAACCUCGAGACGUCGGUUGAAACCAUCUGGCUAGAGUCCGGAAGAGGAGUGUGGAAUUCCCGGUGUAGCGGUGAAAUGCGCAGAUAUCGGGAAGAACACCCAUGGCGAAGGCGGCACUCUGGGACGGUACUGACGCUGAGACGCGAAAGCGUGGGGAGCGAACAGG
rnacentral:rRNA from 1 species